AUGCAACUUCCUGUUUUUUGAUCGUACUUGUAUGCAGUGUAUCCAGCUCUGGAAGUAGCUUUUAAAAAAAGAAAGAUGGAAACUAAAGCUUUAGAUAUACCUAAAGCUGAGCUGGCAAAGGCAGUGGAUGGUCUACAGAAGUUGCUUAAAGUUUCUAAUGCAAAAUCGGACAUACUUCAAGAAAGAGAAAAAAUCCACUUACAAGUCAGCAUGAAGAAAAUUCCAAAUCUACCAGAGCAAAUCAUUAAAGUAAAUUUACCCCAUGGCCUUUAUACUGCCGAUACUGAUGUCUGUCUUUUCGUCAAAGACCUGGACAAGAAGAGUAGAGAGUUUGAAGUGUCAGAGGAACAUUUUUCCGACAUGCUGGUGGAAAAGGGGGUCAAUUGUGUCAGAAAGGUGAUUCCGUUAAAGGCAUUGAAACUGGAAUACAAGCCUUUUGAGGCUAAACGGAACCUCUCCAAUGAGUUUGAUUUGUUCCUCGCAGAUUCUCGCAUUAUAAGACUUUUACCCUCUCUACUUGGAAAAAGUUUUUAUGGAAGGAAAAGAAACCCCAUUCAAGUGGAUUUGGAGGCUAAAGAUUUAAAAGAAGAGAUAUCUAAGGCAGUGAACAACACCAGAUGUAUCCUGAAAAACAGAGGAUCAUCAUGUUUGGUGACGGUGGGCUACUCAGAUAUGACACGUGACCAGAUUGUAGAAAAUGUGCUUAAGACUGUUGAGCAGCUCUCCCUGAAAUUCCCAGGCGGGUCAAACAACAUCAGAAGUCUCCACAUCAAAACCACCAGCUCAGCCUCCAUUCCAUUCUUUGUGUCUCUAGGUAAGAUUUGUUCUAGAAAACAGGGAUGUAUAAUGAGUUACAGGAUAAUGUUUGCAUCUUGUCAGUAAUUAUUAACUCACAAUGAAGGUGGAUAUGAUAAAGCCAUGUGCUUGUGAGUCAUGUGCUUGUGAGUGGGGAAAGUGGAUGGGUACAUUUUGAAAAUAAUGAGUGGAAAUAUUGAGCUGUUGGCAGAAUUUGAAAGCAAGAAUGUUUAUACUGGAUAUUUUUAAUGAAUUUAUUGUAGAUAGUGGAGAAACAGUGGUAUUUCCUGAAAGAAAGAAGGAGAAAAACAAACCAGUCAUAGGAGAAAUCACCACAGUCAUGGAUAAAAAGGUCAGGGUUACAAUGGACGGAAAGGUCAAAUUGGUAAAAGGGGGUGAAGGUGACAAGCCAAAAAAGAACAGAAAAAGAAAGAACCCAAAAGCUAAUGAUAAAGAAAAUAAAAAGGAGGAAAGCACUGUUGGGGUAGAAGCAGUUGAGGUCAAGAUAGAAUAUGAUUCCCAAGGAGAAGUUGAUGAAGAACCAGCACAAAAGAAGGUCAAGAAAACUCCCAAAAAGGACUCUGCUGUCACCCCUAAAGCCGUUGAAAAGAAAACUCCGAAAAAAUCUCCAAAGGUUGUACAGAAAAAAGCAACGCCAGUUAGCAAGACACCAAAUGUAAAAGAAAUUGCUAAAACUGUUGAAAAAGAAAAUCAGAAAUCAGGUAAAAAGAAACAGGUUGUGAACAGUACACCAAAAGUCAAAACUCCGAAAACACCAAAAGGAAAAACACCGAAAACACCUAAAGGACAGAGCGCAAAAAAAGAUUUAGUUAGUGAUAUACCGGUAAAACAAGAGGACUCUAAUGUAGAACUGGAUGUGCAAACACCAGUCAAUGUCAAAAAGUCAAAAGCAAAAACUCCUAAAAGUGCAGCACUAACAAAAACUCCAAAAAGUGCAUUAAAAGAGAAUGCACAAGGAAAAACACCCAAAAGUGCAGUGAAAGAAAAGGGACAAGGGAAAACACCGAAGAGUGCGACCAUGGAGAAAGCGGCCAAGAAACUGAAGGAAAUAACUCCCCCGACGGUCAAAAGGCUGCAGUCCAAAGCCCGGGUGUUAACCCCAGAUAAGCCCUCUGGGAAAAAGAAGAAAAACUGAACUUUGGGCAGAUAACUCUUGUUGCUCAGAAUACCGGUAUAUUGGGACACGUUUUGAAUAACAGUUAUCUCUCUUUUGCUUACCGGUACUUCUUCAUGACAAUAAGCUUGUGACAAAUGAAUACAUUGUAUCAUAAUGCAAUUGUUUUGUUCUUAUGUCGAAGAAAAUAAAAUUUUAGAAUAAUCAAUUCUUACUCUCUGUAGAAAUUAAAGUAAGAGUCUUCUGACAUGUCUCUUCUACAGAAAAACAAAUAAUAUAAAACAAAAACCGUGUCAGGUAUUGAACACCUCCUUAUUGUGAUUAAUUUUCUUCAAAUAAAACAUUGAAAAUU
rnacentral:misc_RNA from 1 species